GCCUUGAGAGCUCAGUUAGUAGAGCAUGGUGCUGAUGACAUCAAGGUUCUAGGUUCAAUCCCCAUAUGGGACA